UACAGAGGUCCCAAGCGUUGUUCGGAUUCACUGGGCGUAAAGGGUGCGUAGGUGGUGAGGUAAGUCGGAUGUGAAAUCUCCGAGCUCAACUCGGAAAUGGCAUUGGAAACUACCUUGCUCGAGGGUUGGAGGGGGGACUGGAAUGCUUGGUGUAGCAGUGAAAUGCGUAGAUAUCGUAAGGAAGACCAGUGGCGAAGGCGGGUCUCUGGACAGUUCCUGACGCUGAGGCACGAAGGUCAGGGGAGCAAACGGG
rnacentral:rRNA from 1 species